CCUUUUAUGUAUCCCUCUCUUCUUCCCUUCCUCUCACUAUCCCUCUCUCUACCCAGCCUCAUCUUGGAUUGCAAGCUGCAACUGGCCUGCAUGAAGAUGAAAUCUAUAGUAAUCAUCAGUUAGCCAUAUGAUGGUGAAUUAGUUCUCAAGCCUUGUACACACUACCCGUCACACUAUGGGAGUUUUCCAUGCCCCAAGUCAUUACCUUAACCACAAGGAGGGGGAUGUUGAAGGUUGGGAUAGUGACUACAGUGAAGUCAUAACAAGGUAGUCAUACUACAAGGUGCAGCUGGAUUACCCCCUUU
rnacentral:ncRNA from 1 species